GGGGCCGUCGUCUAGCAUGGACAAGGAUGCCAGCCUGGGGCGCUGGCGGUCCGGGGUUCAAAUCCCCGCGGCCCCACCA
rnacentral:tRNA from 1 species